UUGGAGGGCAAGUCUGGUGCCAGCAGCCGCGGUAAUUCCAGCUCCAAUAGCGUAUAUUAAAGUUGUUGCAGUUAAAAAGCUCGUAGUUGAAUUUCGGGAUCAGAUUGUCGGUCGUGCCUCGGUACGUACUGGCAUUAUUGGUUCCUACCUUCUGAAGAACCGCGAUGUCAUUAAUUUGGUGUCGUGGGGAAUCAGGACUGUUACUUUGAGAAAAUUAGAGUGUUUAAAGCAGGCGCACGCUUGAAUACAUUAGCAUGGAAUAAUGAAAUAGGACGUUUGAUUCUAUUUUGUUGGUUUCUAGGAUCGACGUAAUGAUUAAUAGGGAUAGUUGGGGGCAUUAGUAUUCAAUUGUCAGAGGUGAAAUUCUUGGAUUUAUUGAAGACUAACUACUGCGAAAGCAUUUGCCAAGGAUGUUUUCAUUAAUCAAGAACGAAAGUUAGGGGAUCGAAGACGAUCAGAUACCGUCGUAGUCUUAACCAUAAACUAUGCCGACUAGGGAUCGGAUGAUGUUAAUUUUUUAAUGACUCAUUCGGCGCCUUACGGGAAAC
rnacentral:rRNA from 1 species